GAAAAGAAGGAGAAAGAAGAAGAAGGAGAAAGGAGGGAGAAGGAAGGGAGGAUGAGAGAGAGAGAGAGAGAGAGAAAACCUCAACCGAUUGGAGUGAUUCAAAAGCCUAAAUCACUUAGAACCUCGUCCUCAUUGCUAAUCCUUGCUUAGUUUUUAGUGGGGAGCUUGGUGUGGUGAGUUAUUCUUCUCCAAAAUUUCGACCCUUUGUGGGUUUUGGGGUGAUUCUCUCCAUCGAAGCUUGAGGAACGCUCAUUGCAUCGUUGUGUGAUCAUUGGUGGAUUGAGGCAUUUGGACCAACCGUAAGUGAUCAACUAUUGGAGCAAGCAAUGGAGCUUGGUUAGUUCAAUUGGAUAGGUGUGUGUUGUGUAAACAAUAGCUUGAAACCAAAGUUGAUUGGUUGCUGAAACUGUUGGUGAAGAACAAAGGUUAACUGAAGCUUGAGGUAAGGAUGCUGCAGGAGCCACCAGUGGCAAGUGGCCAUACUUAGACUAGUAGCGAUGCAUGAGGAUCCUGUAUUUUGAUAUUAUACAUGUUGUUUUGUAGCUCACAUGUAUAGGAUUGUAAUUAAUAGACAAUUGAUAGAUGUAUGUUCUCUUUAUUUGGAAUGGACUUAGCCUAUGCUCAUGCCUUUGGUUAUCUCUUUGUUGAUGAGAGCCAAGGGAGUGUUCAUAGUGUUUUGUAAGCUAAGUUCCAUGAAUUGUAAUGAACAUGAUUUGUAAUU